UUAUAAACCUGGUAGUAGCUGUAGCCUCCGGUUUCCACCGAGCUAUAGCGAAUAACGGAAAUGGCG
rnacentral:sRNA from 1 species